rnacentral:tRNA from 1 species
GCAGUGGAGGUUCAGUGGUAGAAUUCUCAUCUUCUAUAGGACAGGCCCAGGUUCGAUCCCCAGCCAAUGCA